CCUACGGGAGGCAGCAGUGGGGAAUAUUGCACAAUGGGGGAAACCCUGAUGCAGCGACGCCGCGUGAGUGAAGAAGUCAUUAGUUAUGUAAAGCUCUAUCUGCAGGGAAGAAAAUGACGGUACCUGAGUAAGUAGCCCCGGCUAACUACGUGCCAGCAGCCGCGGUACUACGUCGGGGGCCAGCGUUAUCCGGAUUUACUGGGUGUAAAGGGAGCGUAGACGGCAGUGCAGGUCUGGAGUGAAAGGCGGGGGCUCAACCCCCGGACUGCUCUGGAAACUGUACGGCUGGAGUGCAGGUGAGGUAAGUGGAAUUCCUAGUGUAGCGGUGAAAUGCGUAGAUAUUAGGAGGAACUCCAGUGGCGAAGGCGGCUUACUGGACUGUAACUGACGUUGAGGCUCGAAAGCGUGGGGAGCAAACAGGAUUAGAUACCCGUGUAGUC
rnacentral:rRNA from 1 species